rnacentral:lncRNA from 10 species
CUGUGCUACUUCCCCUAGUACCACCUCUUUCUCCCCUCCUCCCUUCCUUAGCCACCAAGGCCCCUUAUUUCCCCUGCAGUUCAGAUCCUGCACUGACGUUUGACUGUUCACCUUCAUAAAUCAGUAUUAUAUCCUUAUAUCCCAACACUCUCAGUUUUAAUCCACAUCCGUAUCUCCAUCAUGUCCAUUUAGGCUCAUUCAGCAUGUUUCAUCUCUUGUCACUUUCAUGGGAGACAAUCUUUCACUUUUUCUUGACAUCACAUUUUGUUUUUUUGAGCCCCCAGAUCUAAAUUGGUAAUCAUUCAGUUCGAGACCUGUAGAAAGAGUUGAGUUUGUAAAGUUUGUAGAUCUAAAAAGAAUGAAUACUUUGAUUUUCAUAAAUCAAAUACGUAUUUGUCCAUCUAAGUACAAACAGUCCAGAACACUUAUUAUCUGAAAUGGGAUAGUCCUUGGUGGAGAGCUUGGCAUUAUUCUCUCUAUGUGUGUAUAUAUAUACACACAUAUAUAUGCGUGUAUAUAUAUACACGCAUAUAUAUGCAUGUAUACACACUGAAUAGAUUAUAAAAUAUAUUUAUAUACAUGUGUACAUAUAUAUAAAUUAUUCAGUAGUUAUUCAUAAUAGAAUAAAUAGAUUUUACUGGGACUCUCAAUCCUUAACCAGCCACCUCUUGGUGCUUCUGGUUGAGGAAGUUUAUAUUAAUUCACUAAAUCAACAAAUAUUUGAGUUCUGGGACUGCUGGACCCCAAAAGAUAGAUGCAGCAGGGAGGGCAUUCCAUAUUAAACUAUGCAAUAAUUCUGUUGACCACAUACUGAAUAGCAGGACUACAAUUAUGCUAGCAUUUUCAAUUGUCAUUGCAAUAUGUAUUUUUUUUUAUCUAACAGUAUUUUAUGAUCUUUAACCUUAUGCCUGCCUCUCAUCUACUCACAUCAGCCUGGAUGCUACUUUCUUAUGCAGAUGCUCUUUCCCCUACAGAGCAUACUACUUCCCUUCCCUCUGUGUUUUACACUUUCAGGGUAGAUGACCAUCUGAUCUGUGAGGAUCCUGGGAUUUUGUUUUAAAGCCAGGCUGUUUAGUAAGUUUCUGAACAGAAAUUCAUGUGAAAUUUCCCCUUUUAAGAACUGUUUGUUGCUUUUCUCUGAUAUCUGAUUAACUUUGUGUUGAGAUAGCAUUUAGACAAAUAUUAGUUUACCUUCAUAUCUUUUUUAUAACUGUUUUACUUUCCAAUUUCUCUGUGAGAUGUGUCUUUAAAACCAAGUUUCACUAUGCCUUCUUAUUUUUUCAUCAAGGGUUGGUUUCUCAUUUGUAUAGUUUCUUUCCUAGAGAAGUCCCAUUUCAUUCAUUUCUAUCCUUAUUCUUCUUAAAUCCUGUGAUGGAGAACUCACUGCCUUAUAAGAUAUCUCACUGAAAUCUCAGAAAGUUCUAAUCAUUCAGAGUUUUAAAAUUAAUUAAUUAAUUGAUUUUUGCUUCUGUUGAGUUAAAAUCUGCCUCCCAGUAGUUUACACACAUUGGUCCUGGCUCUGCCCUGUGGAGUGGUACAGAACAGGUAUAAAAUAAUAAAAGUACCUUUCAUCCUUGACAGCUUAAAAUUGCCACAGCUUCUAUUCUGGUUCUUUCCCCUUCCAUUCUGUGAGACACACUAGGCAAUCUACUCAAUCUUCUGUGACUCAGCUUCCUCAUCUACAACAUUGGAGACAAUAAUAGUACCUACCUCAUAGAAUUGUAAGAGGAAUAACUGAGUCAAUGAGUCAACCUAUGUAAAGGAUCUGGAAUAGAGCCUAGCACAUAGAAAGCACUCUAUAAGCAUUAACUAUAAUAAUAGUAAUAAUAAUAGUAUGACACAGUGCUAACAAUACUACUAAUUAACAUCCUUUUAAUAUUAAGAUUAAUUGUGUACUUUAUGCCAGGCAUUGCACUAAGUAUUUUCAAUAUGCCAUCUCACAUAAUCCUUAAAGAAUUAUGUUCUCACCAAGACUUUUUUGGGGGGUUUAACCUCCCCAGUUAUUUCAGCCAUUUCUGAUGUGACAUAUUUUUUCAAAGUCAUUCAUUAUUCUACACAUUCCUGAAUGUGUAAAUGUCUCUGAAAACACUGAAUAUACUGCCUAGUGCAGAAUGGAGUGAUCUUACCACCUCCUUCAUUUUAGAAUAGGUGCUAUACAUCUAUGGAUGCAUCCUAAAAUUAUAGUAGAUUUUGUGAAUGCCAUAUCACACAAUUGAAUCCAGUUUAAGUUGCAGUCAACUAGACCCCUCCCUUAUUUCAUACUUCAAGCUGUUAAUCCACUUCUGUAAAUCUUUUUAGUUUUAACUCAAGUAUAGAAGCUUCUAAUUUUUUCUGGGUUAAAUUUUGUCUCAUUAGAUUCACUCCCUCAAUCUUUGAAUCCAGAUUCUAUCAUUCUGUAUAUUAGCUGCAAAUCAUUAAUUUAAAGCAUGCCACUAGUACUAAAUAGGGUGAUAAAGUCAGCAAACUCGGGAAAGAUCUAUAGGUAUCUCAGCAGAGAGUUCUGACUCCAAGUGAAAAAAAUUUCUUUUCCUUAUUGCAUGUGAAACCAGGAGUAUGCCCUGCCGAGCUAGUUCCCUUCCUCUCAUCUCUCAUGUGGCUUCUCAGAUUGCUUGCUUUCUAGUGCUGCUAAUAGAAGACACUAUAGUCCCUGAAAGCUCCUGCACCGGUAUAAAUUAAACUUUGAUGAGAACUUAGUAAAUAUGGAGGGCAGAUAAGGAGGUGUGAGGAAAUAGAAGCAGGAGAGGAGGAAUGAAGACCGAGUCUCCAUGUGGGCUCUAAGUCUGCCCAGCAGUAGCUGAUCUCGGGUUCCCUUAAGAGAAAGGACUCUCAAGAGGGAAUAAGGUAAAGGUGAUUCUGCUACCAAAUGACAAUCAUUUGUUACAAAGAAGUGUGAUCUGCUACUUGUUUGUGUAGGGUUGGGGUUGGGGUGGGGCUGUCCUUCUGAUGGAUUUGAUUUGAUACCCUUGAUUUAGGGUCCUAUGAGGGUAUAUUGCUUGGUCCAUUAUUACUAAUGAGUGUUUGUUUUGAAACCCAUUUCAAAAGUGUGACAACUGAGCUCUGGGAGGUGACAAAUUGUUCCCAUGGAAACACAGAUGAUAGUAAGUAGCUGAGAUGGGAUUUAAAACCUAAGGCUAGGUGCAGUGGCUCACGCCUGUAAUCCCAACACUUUGGGAGGCCAUGAUGGGAGAAUAGCUUGAGCCCAGGAAUUCAAGACCAGCCUGGGUAACAUAGUGAGAUCCUGUCUCUAGAAACGAUAAAAAUUAGCCAGGCAUGGUGGUGCACACCUGCGGUCCCAGGUGGUCCAGUUCCUUGGGAGGCCGAGGUUAGAGGCCUGGGAACUCAAGGCUUCAGUGAGCCGUGAUUGUGCCACUGUACUCCAGCCUGGCCAAUAAGAGAUUCCAUCUGAAAACAAAAGAAAACAAAAAAAACAAAACAUAGGCAGUGUGGCAUGAGAGAUUGUACCUUUAACCACUAUGUAAAACUGCUCCUGGGCAGUGGGCUCCACCCACAUUUACACACAGCACUGGGCAGCUGCUGCCAUGACAACAGUCUCCAAGUGGUGUGGCCUUUCUCUGGGGGAUCUGAGAAAGCCCAGGGUGGGUUUCUCCUCCAGGGA